GGAAGCGUGGCCGAGCGGUUUAAGGCACUAGUCUUGAAAACUAGCGAAGGGGUAACCCUUCCGUGAGUUCGAAUCUCACCGCUUCCG
rnacentral:tRNA from 1 species